AAUAAAGGUGGGAGUCAGAAGUGAAAUUCUCUGAGACGCAGGGGAGUGGGAGAAGGAGAGGGGACAGUGAAACACAGAAAGAAAGAAAGAAAGAAAGAAA